rnacentral:rRNA from 1 species
UACGGAAGGGGCGAGCGUUGUUCGGAAUCAUUGGGCGUAAAGGGCGCGUAGGUGGUCUUGUAUGUCUACCGUGAAAGCGUACGGCUCAACCGUAUUUUGUCGGUAGAAACUGCAGGACUUGAGGCUGGGAGGGGCUGGCGGAAUUCCCUGUGUAGCGGUGAAAUGCGUAGAGAUGGGGGAGAACACUCGUGGCGAAGGCGGCCAGCUAGACCAGUUCUGACACUGAGGCGCGAUAGCGUGGGGAGCAAACAGG